GUCAGAGCAUCUUUAUUACAUUGACAAUGGGGUCUGUUGUUGGUGUUCCAUCCAGAUGUAGUAGAAUGUGUUGUUCUGGAGGUGUUAACCAUAGAAAUAGAAUUACCAGAAAAUAAAUCCCCAUUCAAGUCAAUGAUCCAUGAUGGGUGUCUGAGGGGAUUUAGCCAUUCUAGAAAGAACAGGAGGAUGGUAUGCACAUCUUAAACUAGAGUUAACCAGA